AAUAUCGAAAAGAGUUGUACUAAUUAACUAGAGUUUAAUGUAAGAUGGAUUGAGUACGGUGAGUGUAGGGAUAUAAUUCCCCGAUAAAAAGUAGGAGGUGGUAAAGGCGAAAAAAGACAUAAAUGUAAAAACUGACGUUAAGGGACGAAGGCUUGUGUCCAAAUAACAGGAUUAGAUACCCUAGUAUUUUGAGCAGACAAUGAUGAAUGUCAUAUACAAGAAAUUUUUUGUGUAUAAAUGAAAGUGUAAGCAUUCCACCUCAAGAGUAACGUGGCAACAUGGGAACUGAAAUCACUAGACCGCUUCUGAAACUAGUAGUGAAGUAUGUUGUUUAAUUUGAUAGUCCUCAUUUUGAAUGAGCACAAUUUGAAUAUAUGGCUGUGUAGCCCGCAAGCGUUGCACAGUUACAAGCGUUGCACGGCUGUCUUCCCCCAUUAUUGUGAAACUGUGGUUAGAUCCAUUAAAUUGACGUAAACCCUUAAUUUAUUUAUAAUAGAGUAGUACUCCUCCUUAUAGGUAGCGAUAUAAGGGACCAAGACAAGUCAUCCUGCUUG
rnacentral:rRNA from 1 species